CCCGAGCCCAGCGCGGUCCCGAGCCCGGCCGAGCCUGGCGGCGCUGGGACCGCGGCUGGGAUUCGGAGUAGCCCGGGGAAGAGGUCGGCCCCACCGCCACGAACGGGGCUGCCGCCGCCAGCAAAACUGGGAGGGCCGCUGGGCUCCGCGCCGGCCGCCUCCGGAGCUGGCGGGUGUGGGCGCAGCUCGGAGGUGCCUGGAGCUGUGGGUGCCGGAGUAGCCGAGGCAGCCGCCGGCGGAGGAGCCGGAGCGCGGAGGCUGCGUGACGGCAUUGAUGCGGCAGGAUGACAGUGAAACUGGGAGAGAGCAGUGGGGAGGAAGGGGUGAAAAAGCUGGGCAAGAGAGCAGGAGCAGAUGAAGAGUCCCUGGAAGAAGAAGGGGCAGGAGGAGGAGGAGAGGCAGCUCCAGGCAGCAGCAGCACAAAGAAAGAAGAGAAGAUCAUUAACAGCAACACUACCAGCAGCUCCCCACCGAACCCCAGCUUGUCACCGGCCCCUGCCUCUCUCCAGCCCUCCCAGAGCCAGGACCAGCAUCAUUUUCUCAGGUCCAGUGUCAGACCUCAGAGCAAGAGACUGAAGAAGGAUUCCCAGGCAUCCUCCUCGGUAGGCAGCAGCACUGCCGGGAAAGGCAAAGCAGCAGAUAAUGGAGGGGCUGCACCUUGUGGCACAUCAGGAAUUCCUCCCAGCAAUCCUGCUGGGAAUUCCAAGUCAGCAGCAAGGAACCUGGGUUCCUCGACAGGAGAGAAGGAAGAAGGGAAGAAAGUGCGACGGCAGUGGGAGUCAUGGAGCACGGAGGACAAGAAUACUUUCUUUGAGGGACUGUAUGAGCAUGGGAAGGAUUUUGAAGCUAUCCAGAACAACAUUGCCCUGAAAUACAAGAAGAAAGGCAAACCAGCAAGCAUGGUGAAGAACAAGGAGCAGGUCCGGCACUUCUACUACCGCACCUGGCACAAGAUCUCCAAGUACAUUGACUUUGAUAAUGUGUUUUCUCAAGGGCUGAAAAAAUCUUCCCUGGAGCUGUAUGGCUUAAUCUGCUAUGGGGAACUAAGGAAAAAGAUCGGGGGAUGUAUGGAUGACAAGAACGCAGCUAAACUCAAUGAGCUCAUUCAAGCCGGGGCUACAACUGUUCGUUACAAGGGCAGAAACCUGCGUAUCAAAGCUCCCAUGUGCAGGGCUUUGAAGAAACUCUGUGAUCCAGAUGGUGUGAGUGAUGAAGAGGACCAAAAGCCAGUACGACUUCCCCUCAAGGUCCCUGUGGAGUUGCAGCCACGGAAUAACCAUGCAUGGGCUCGAGUACAGAGUCUUGCCCAGAACCCACGGCUUAGGAUGAUCGUGGAGUUACAUCGGAAGGUCUCCAGCCUCCUUGAGUUCCUGAAGCAGAAGUGGGCUCUACAUGAAGUGCGGGUUCGUAAAACACUUGAAGAACAGCAACGUCGAGACUCCAGAGACUCAGAAACAAGAGGCAGCUUCUCAGAGGAGAAAGUGAUGCUCCAUCUCUUUCCAGGGGAAAACUGUACCAUCACUCCACUGCCUGGGGUAGCCAGAGUGGUCCAUUCCAAGGCCUUCUGUACCGUGCAUUGGCAGGAAACGGGCAAAUGCAAACAGAACGCAAAAGACUCUCACUUACUCCCCCCUGCCCAAAUCCUUGGGAUACAGAGUGGUCAGGGGACAGCAAGGGGACAGCUGAAAUACCUGCGGGGGAUGGAAGGUAAGGGUGUGGGAAGGGGAGAAAGCACUACAGAGCCCAGCAGAACCUUGCAGCCUACAAAUGAAGUUUCUGCAAGCACUGAAGAUGGUGCCUCAGAGCCCGUCCUGGUGGAAGGAGUAGCCUCAAAUCUUGGCAUCACUAAUUCCCUCCAGAAACCACCUUCUGGACUUCAGGAUCCAGGAGGGCACCAGGAAAAGCUGAGCUCAGUGGCCCCCUGCAUGGAGGGCAGGGAGGCCCUGGCUAGUGACCAGGCAGGUGUGCUACCUUCGUGCAGCACAGAGUGUGCUUGCAGCAGGAUCCCUGAUGUGGAGGAGCUCUCUCUGCUUGAUCCAUUCCCACGGUACAUGAAGUCCUGCCAGGACCUAAUUGUCCCAGAGAAAUGUUCCUGCACAAACAAACUGCACGGGCAAGACUCUGCUUCAGCAGCUGGUAAUGCUUCUCCAGUGGCUUUUCCAAGCAGGAGGAGUGCAGAAACCUCUGACUCUUGUUCCCAGCUACUGAGAGGUGGUGUGGCUUCCCCUGGCAGCAGCAGAUAUGAAACUCAGGCGAGCCACAGCCAGGGCCAGCAGCUUGAUGCUUGUACCAAGGAUAUCACGGAUGCAGUAAUGGAGGAUUCUCAAGAGAAGCUGGGCUCCUCGUUUCCACCUCCACCUCAGGGACAAUCCAGUACAAAGUCUCUCAAGGAUGACCCAAGUCGGCUCUCCCAACAAGUUAGAGAAGAAGGAUGGAGUCUGCGAACCUCUGAGAGCCUUACACUGGCUGAAGUCUACCUCAUGAUGGGCAAACCGAACAAGCUGCAGCUGGAAUAUGACUGGUUGGCUGUCUUGGAGCCAAAAACCCAGCAUGCUAGAGAGCAGGUAUCUGAGUCAAGUGCUGUCCCUGCAUGCUCUACCUUGCACAAGCAGAGACUCUUGAAUUGCCUUCUGAGACUCAUCUCUACUGAAGUCAAUCCCAAACCAAUGCCCGAGAUGAGCUCUAUUGCCACGUCACCCAUAAAGCCUACUCAGGAGGAGCAGGCCCUGACUCCCCCGGGGAAGGUGAUUGCCGUCAACGCCAGGAGCCCCGGCUGCGCACGGAACCAGUCUGCCCUUCGCAACAAGACUUUUUCUCCUGGUGCUGCUUCCAGCUCCUCAGGUUUGAGAAACCUCCCUAGACCUCUCUUGGUGGCUAGUCCUUCAAGUUCUGGGAGCACGGAAGCCGACAGUGGGCUGUUUGCAGUCCCUACAACCUUGCCCCCCAAUAGCCGCCAUGGGAAACUGUUCCUGCCUAGCAAGGAAGCAGAGCUGACCUUCCGGCAGCACCUGGACACCAUCAGUAUGCAGUCGGACUUCUUCCUUCCGAAGCCCAGGAAGCUGCGGAACAGGCACUUGCGGAAGCCACUGGUAGUACAGAGAACACUGCUCCCUAGACCGUCUGGAAAUCCGUCCCAGCAUGUCUGUUCCUUUUCUAUCUUAUCCAACUCAUCCAUUACAGGGAGAGGUUCAUUUCGGCCAAUCCAGUCCUCACUGACUAAAGCUGCUGUUUCUCGUCCAAUUGUGCCCAAAGUUCUUCCAACACAGGCCACCAACCAUCUGUCUAGUGCUAUUGACUUGGCAGCUAAAAGUGCUGGCAUUAUCCCUGGUAGUCCCAUGCCUGUCCUGGAUGCAGAUGGUUUGCCAGGUGUGUCUUCAUUGUCACCGGAUGCAGUGCCCACAGUAGUGACAGGGCAGGAGCCAGCAGCAGCACAUCAGAAUGGAGGCUCCAUCACCACUGUGGAGGGCUCAGCCUCAGCGUGCCGGGUGCCGUACAUCAGCCUGCCCACCCGGCCCGAGCAGGAUGGCUUCCAGGGUGCAUCAGUCCUUUCUAUGCCAGAACUGGCCAAGACUUCUCUCCAGAAUGGUCUGUCCACCCCUCCUCUUCCCUCAUCAGAAGCUUCCAGUACUCGGCUCUCUCCUCCCAAUGUUUCUGCUCUCUUGGAUAUUUCCCUGCCUGGACCACCUGAGGAUGUGCUUUCCCAAGGCGAACCUGCCACUCAGAUCAGUGAUUCCAUCAUUGAAAUAGCCAUUAGCUCUGGCCAAUACAGUGAAGGUGUUUCUCUCUCUCCUGCAAAGCUGAAUGGCAGUGACAGCUCCAAAAGUCUUCCAUCCCCAUCCAGUAGUCCUCAGCAGAACUGGAUUGCAUCUCCCACCCAUGAUCCCCAGUGGUACCCCAAUGACUCCACAGACUCCUCCCUCAGCAGCUUGUUCUCAAGUUUCAUCUCCCCAGAGAAGGGACGAAAAAUGUUACCAACUCCAGCUGGGAACACCAGUGGCACCUCCUUGCUGGGACCCAGCCUGCUGGAUGGAAACUCACGGGACUCCUUUGUGUCGCGGUCCCUGGCAGACGUGGCAGAGGUGGUGGAUUCCCAGCUGGCUUGCAUGAUGAAUGAGAACAGCAUAGAUUACAUAUCUCGCUUUAAUGACCUUGCCCAGGAGCUGUCCAUACCUGAGCCCACUCGCAGGGAGAUCCUGUUUGAUGGAGGAGGUGGUGGUCCCCCGACUGGGGAUCUGUCACAGUAAGGAAAUGACCAGCAGGCUGGUGCAGACUGUUCAGCUAAGUUGGAGCUUGCAGAGCUGGAACUUGAUGAGGGAGCAGCUGAGUCUGAGUUGUCCCUGUCCUGUGUGCUUCUUUCUAACAGAGAAGCAUUGGUUUCAAAGGUCUGAAGAAAUACUUGCAAGUCCUGGAAUGUGCAAUAUGCUGGCAACAACAGAACAUGGAAUAACGUUACAGAAGAUAGUGUGUCCCUGCAUCAGCAAUGUAUGAUUGCAGGUUUGUGGGACAGUCCUGGACUUGUACUUUGGAAUAGCCUAAGCAAGCAGCUCAAGCAUCUCAAGUGCCACAAGCUCCUGUUUAUGAAUUAUUGUUUGCGUAGUGAUCAAAAUGCCAUGCCUUCUGAUCUCCAUGAAAGCUGUGGAGGAUAAGGAAAUCCUUCAGAUUUGCAGGACAAAAGUAGAAGGCACCUACUAUGGCUGUGGAUUACAGAACGUGCAGGAGGAAAUGUGUUACAUUCUAAUCAAGUACUGUCUAAAAAGAAAUCUGAACUCUCAUUCUUAAACUUCUAAAUACUGCAAAAGUAACGUCAGGGUCUCCAGUGUAUUUGUAACUUGACAAACUUUUCAUCUUCCCUACUGAUGCUGGUAAGACAGUGGAUAUGACACUGGGUUUGGCUCUGAAGUUGCCUAGAAUAAAGACCAGUUUUGCUGUACCUGCUGCAGGAGUGGAGAGCAGAGCACUUCAUCCUAAUCCAUGAAGGCUUUUUGCCUGCGAUACAAGGAGCUGUCAGCUGCCUUGCCUCAGCAUACCCAGGGGGAAGGACCCAGCUGCAGAAUGAAGGCAGAACAGGUGGCUGUUUUUGAUGAUGCCGUGACAUCAGAAAACUUCUAAUACCCUGAACCUUUGCAAGUGGGCUUGAACCACCCAGUAAUAACAGAGUAUAAAUGACAGAAAUCAGUUCAACACUCAGAAGGUUGGGUUAGAAGUGUUUGGCGUCAGCCCCUUAAAAGUUGGCAUUAUGAAGCAGAGUUUGAUUUCAGAAAUGUAAUGCAUUACAAACUGCUUUUUAAGAAUAAAGCCCUUUGAGGAAAAGGGAAGAACUUAAGAAUAAUUAAGAUCAUUGUGGUAGUUCUGAAUUGAUGCAGUAUCUGUUACCCUUACUAUAUGAAAGGCCGUUUAAACACAUUUCUGAUCAGACCAGCUCUAGAUUUUAGGUGAAUGUCCUUUACAAUAGUGGUCAUCAUCAGUUUGUGCCUGAGACUGCUAAGGAGGUGGUGUACACACACACACACACACACACGUGCACAGAUGGCCGGGAAGGUGGUAAUACUCAAAAUUUCUUCAAUUUUAAUUAUUUCAGCUUCCCCAACAACAGUAACAAAAUCUAAAUGAGGGACAAUGUCAGGCUAAGCAGACAUCCAAGCAAGUAACACUGAAUUGCACACAGUAUCAUUUGUGACUUCAUUAGGUUAGUACCUUCCUGGAGCAGUGUGAGGUGUUGGAGAGGACUAAGGGACACUAACAGUCUCCAGGUCUAGGAUUAACUGCUCUAGGCUUUUCCCUCUCAGUGACCAUAAGGCAGUUGUGAGUAGCUGACAAGGUAAAUGACAGAAGGUUGG